rnacentral:rRNA from 1 species
UACGGAGGGUGCAAGCGUUAUCCGGAUUCACUGGGGUUAAAGGGUGCGUAGGCGGGUUGGUAAGUCCGUGGUGAAAUCUCCGAGCUUAACUCGGAAACUGCCGUGGAUACUAUCAAUCUUGAAUAUCGUGGAGGUAAGCGGAAUAUGUCAUGUAGCGGUGAAAUGCGCAGAUAUCAGGAAGAACACCCGUGGCGAAGGCGGCUCUCUGGUACGUGACUGACGCUGAGACGCGAAAGCGUGGGGAGCGAACAGG